rnacentral:rRNA from 1 species
UUUGUCGGAGAGUUUGAUCCUGGCUCAGGACGAACGCUGGCGGCAUGCCUCAUACAUGCAAGUCGAGCGGUCUUUAAGAAGAAGGCUUGCCUUCGUCUUAAAGAUAGCGGCGGACGGGUGAGUAACGCGUG